rnacentral:ncRNA from 1 species
UGAAAGUUUUGGUCCUGGACUUUCCGUUAUUUAUGACUAAGAUUACACAUGCAAGCAUCCGCACCCCAGUGAGUUCGCCCAAUCACUCCGGAGCAGGCAUCAGGCACAAUCUUACCAGCCCAUAACGCCAAGACACCCACACCCACACGGGCAUGCAGCAGUGACUAACAUUAGGCACUGAGCCAACGCUCGACCAAACUAUUGUCCUUUAAGCCGGCAAACUUCGUGCCAGCCGCCGCGGUUAUACGAAGCUGGCCCCAAAUAACGACUAACGGCAUAAAACGUGGCACACAACUUUCUUCACACUAAGUAUUUACUAGGACCUAUACGUAAAACCAAAGCCUAAUUGAACACCAACACGGAACUUAGCCAAUGAAACCCACAACCCACGAAAACUGAGGAACAAACUAGGAUUAGAUACCCUACUAUGCCCAAUCGUAAACAUCGAUCUUUCUUUUAUCCGCCAGAGAAUAACGAGCUAAAGCUUAAAACUCAAAGGACUUGGCGGCAUUCCACACCACCCUAGAGGAGCCUGUCAUAUAAUCGAUAACCCACGAUAAACCUCACCGCUUUUUGCCCAACCAGCCUAUAUACCGCCGUCGCCAGCCCAUCUUGAAAAAGAAACAUAAUGGGCUUAAUUGUAUCGCCACACCAAUACGACAGGUCAAGGUGUAGCUAAUAAAGCGGCAAAUGAUGGACUACAUUGCUUACACAAGCAAAACCAAAAUUGUACUGAAACAUAUAAUUUAAGGUGAAUUUAACAGUAAGACGAGCAAGAAAGCCCAUCUAAAACAUGCUCUGGAACGUGCACACACCGCCCGUCACCCUACUUUACAACCGCCACAAAAACAUAUUAACCCAUCAAAAACAAGAGUAGGAAAGUCGUAACAAGGUAAGCGUACCGGAAGGUGCGCUUGGAAGA